ensembl:lncRNA
GGAAUUUUCUGAGCACAUAGCGUAUACUGUCCACACUGAAGGAAUAUUUGUUGGCCCAAGAAGUGUGUUUGAAUGAAAAUAAAAUGUUUUUGUUUCCCUUCACUGUAAUACUUCAAGGCCACAUUUCAAAAAUUACUGUCAGGCUUUCGGACUCAGCAUUCAAAUCGCAGAGUCUGAAGGGCUGCAGCCCUGCUCGCGGCGUCACCGACUCUGGGGUCAGCAUCAGGAUGACUGGACGUGCGAACGCCAAGCGUCGCGUACAGUACGCUCGGAGCCAGGUGCAGGGCCGGGCGCGGGGCUGGCAGCACUAGCCGGGAAGCGGGCGACGGCCGGGCCGGGCUCCGCCUGGAAAUAACCAUCGGCAGACGUCGGGCCGCGGAGGACACUCGCCUGCCGCGCUCUAGACCCCCGCGUCUCCGGAUCGCCCCGGUACGCUCUGCCGGGAGGACGCUGCCCCGCGCGGGUCCCCAGGGAAAGCAGGUGGAGGAGCCUCUAGCAGACCCGGCCAGGCCCCCGCCGAAGCGCGCAUCCGGAUCCCUCCGCCACCACGGCUCUUCCGCGCCAAGUAGUGCGCGGCCGCCGCGCGCUUCCACGAGCCGCUGGGGUGUCGGACUAGCUGUUCGCGCGAGGCCCCUGCUGUCCACACACCCCUCGAGGCCCCCCGCGGCCCGACCCUCCGGCCCCGGCUCAUGCGCCCUGCGAGCCCGCGCGCGGAGCCUCUCCGAAGCCGCCAGGGGAGCGCGGGCGGGCGGCAUGGGACACAGGUGUCCCGCCCCGCCCCCACCGCCGCCAGCAGGAAAAGGAGCCGCGGGCCACCCGCCCGGCCUCGCGGGACGGGGCGCCCUGCUGGGAGCGCGUGACCUAGUUCGUCCUGAAGUGGAUUUGACAGGUUGUCAGCUCGGCUCCCCACCCCCACCACCUUCCGGGUCCUUCUCCCGACUCACCCUUCCAUUGGCCCUGAGCCGCCUGGCGCCCCGCCCUCUAUCGCUUUCCCAUUGGCCUCUACCCAACGGGCCCACCCCUACUCCAACUCACCCUUCCCUUGGCUUUGCGCCGCUCGUAGCCCCGCCCUCUCCGACUCGCCGUCGUGUUGGCCUUGCCGCCCUGGCGCUCCGCCCCCUUGUCCCCGGCUGAAUCCCGCGAGUCGCUGGGCUCGGGAUUCCGUUGAGCUGCUGGGUUGGGCCGGGCAGAAACAAGACGGCGAGCUCACCUGCGCUGCCGCCGGCUCCCACGGCUCCCACCCCUCGGCCCAGCCUCCACCUUCUUGAUCCGGCCCAGGGGCGCGGGUCUCCUGGCGGAGCCGGGGUGGAGAUGACAAACGUCGCCACCGCGCUCGGGUCCUGGGAUGGAGCAGGAGCCGGGAUGCCUAGAUCAACUUAGACUCCAGGCCAAGCCCGAGGCCUCACGGUACCAGGGACACUGCAGUGGCACCGCCAACAGUCCCAUCAGUUAGCAGCAGCUUCUCCUGGGGAACUCACUCCUCUUGCCCUGCUUCUGGCAUCCUGAGGUUGAGAGAUUGCGUGUCUUUUACAGUCUGAGCUCGCUCUGUGACGGGCCGCUGCGGAGGCCAAGGAUAAAAGGAAUAAUCGCCUCUCAUCUGACGUUACACAGAAGAAACCUGGUUUAACGUGAGAAAACUAAGUAACUUUCCUAAAAUGUCUAAGUGGGAGAUCCCGACGUGAAGCCAAGGCUGACUCCCGAGGGUGAUUAUUGGGACCGUGGCGCCGGCAUAGCCAGGGGAACAGCAGAGCAGCCUUUCCAGCCGCCCUCAGCCUCGUGGUAGGAGCCUCCCGAAGCUCUGACCUUCAUUCCAUUCCAGCCACACCCAUAGCUUUGGGGCCUCGUCAUUUUGCCACGAGGUCUUUGCUUUGGCCCUUUCUGGCCCACCCCGAGCAGCACGUGCUUACCUCCUCACCUUACUCAGCUCCAUUAUCGCCUCAGGGAGGCUUUUCUGAGACUGAAGCUAAAGUAGGUCCCCUCCCUGCCCCCAGCCAGGCCCUUUUCUUAUCUCUAAGCACAGUCCAAGUCACCAUUCUUAGCUCCUAGUGGCUGCUGGCUGCCUUUUGAGCUCAGGGAGGCAAGGGCCUUUUCUGAUUUUUCAGAGCUGUGUCUGGAGGACACAAGCAGGUAUUCAGUGAAACCCUGAUAGGUAAAUGCUGCCUACAUUCACAGUGAUCAAAGGGGAACCACAGUGUCCUCCUACUGAGUUCUGCUGAGAUGAGAUCAGAUAGGUACAGCUGUGAGAAAGGGGGACACAGGUUUUCUGUCAGUUGCCUGAAGGCCACCCCUUUGCCCACUUCUCCAGCUGGUGACAGAGUGGCAUCGCUCAGGUGGGCACACACUUGCCAGGUGGCCCCUGGUCCUCUUCAGCUCUGAGAAUCUGUGCCUGGCAGAGGCUUUGAGUGGGGGAGGGAAGGAGUCCUGGUGUCCUCUGACUAGUCCUGGCUUCUGUUAAGUGAUGUCCCCAUGGGGCAGGGCAGGACACGGAACUCAGGGCCCCUCCACACUCUUCCCAGCUCCCCCUGCACCCCAGAUCGUAUCUUUCUCAUCACUCACCCUGGGCCUCUCCUGCUGAGGUCAGGAGAACCAUGCCUUCCAAGCCUCCCCCAAGUAGGCAGUGCGAGCUUGAUGAAGUCUAGUGACCUCCCAGCACCUAUUCCGCCCACCUCUGCCUGUGUCAUCCUAGUUUUAGGGAUAUAGGCACAUCAUACAUUGUCACUGCUAAAAGCUCUCAGUCCCUGCUGGAUGGCACAUGCCUGUAAUCCCAACACGUGGGAGGCUGAGGCAGGUGGAUUGCUAUGAGUUCAAGGCCAGCCUGUGCUACAUAGUGAAUUUUUUUUUUUUUUGGUACCAGGCAUCAACUCCGGACCUUGGGCUUUCAAGGCAUAUUGAAUUUAAAGCCAGCCUGAACUACAUAGCGAGACCCUGUCUCAAAGAAACAAAAACAAAAAACAAUUGGCCAGGUGUGGUGCCUGUAAUUUCACCAUUCAGGAGGUUGAGGCAGGGGCCCCCCCCAGGAGUUCAAGGCUAGCCUAGACCACAUAGGGAGACUGUCUCAAAAACAAAUAAAAACAAUUGAAACUGAAGGUUUCCAAGCCAGGUGUGGUGGCACAGGCUGAGGCCGGAGGAUGGCAAGUUUGAGCCCAGCCUAGGUAGAAUUUUCAUUGUGCAGAGGAAAUCUCCAAAUUCAUUGGGAUCCACCUUACCUUUCUGACGCAUUUGGUGAAUUAGAAGAAAUGGCUGUAGAGACAUUUCUUUUUUUCUUUUUUGGUACCGGGGAUCGAACUCAGGAUCUUGCACUUGCCAGGCAGCCGCGGCACCACUGAGCUAAAUCCCAGGCCCAGUAGAGACAUUUCUAAUAUUCAAUUCUUUUGUAGUGCUGGGGAUGGAACUCAGGGCCUUGUUCAUGUUGGCAAGUGCUCUACACCCCAGCCCAAGAAUCUUUUUUGUUUUCUUUUUGGCACCAGGAAUCAAACUCAAGACCUUGCACUUGCCAGGCAGGACCAGUGCCACUAAGCUAAAUCCCCAGCCCUGUUUUGUUUUUUAAAGACGAGGUCUGGCUAUCUAGUUCAGGCUGGCCUCAAACUCUUGACAGUCCUGCCUCAGCUUCCCAAGUGGUGGGAUUACAGGUGUGUUAUCACCAUGCCUGGGUCCAAGACCCAUUUAAAAAAAAAACUUUUAUAACAAAACAAAAACAACUUGUGUAAUAUUUUUUAUGGUACUGGGGAUUAAACUCAGGGCCUUUGCACUGCGCUAUAUCCCUGACUUUUUAAAAAGUUUUUUGUUUUAUAAAUAAGUUCCCGUUAAAUCACUAAAUUGCUCAGGCUGGGCUCAGGCUUGCAGUCCUCCUGCCUCUGCCUCCAGAAUGCAGAGAUUACAGGUGUGUAACCACCACACCCUCUUUUUUCCUCUUGAAUUUUGGCUUUCUUUUUCUCCCUUCACCUCUGCACUUAGACUGGCCUGGAAAUACAGCUUCUGUCACUGUGGGCUCUGUGAGCUGGGACUCUUGCAAAGGGACUCAGGUCGGACAAGUGGAGAAAGGACUAGGACACCACUGACAGAUCUUUCUUGGGGUGUUGUAUUGUUGUCCUAUUUUUUUUUUUUGGUACUGGGGAUCGAACUCCGGACCUUGGCAGAUGCAAAGCAGGCACCAGAACCACUGAGCUAAAUCCCCGGCCCUACUGGGGUGUUGUAUUGUUUCCUGUACCCUCUCCACACUUCCUUUCAUGGAUAACUUUUCUUUCUUUGGGACUGCAGUAUUUUUUGCUUUACUUUGUUUUUUGUUUGUGAGACAAAGGUCUUGCUGUAUAGUUUAGCCUGGCCUUGAACUCACCAUGUAGUGGAGACUGGCCUCAAACUCACAGAGAUCCUCCUACCUCAACCUCCUAAAUGCUGGGUUCACAGGUGUGCUCCACCACACCCAACUAAUUUGCCAUUUCUGGAACUCUUGGCUCUGCUGGAAAUGAAGAGAAGCUUGUCUUAGAAGAGAACACACAGCCAGGUUUGAGGCCAAGGCCUUUGGAGAAUUGAAACCUUCCCUGCUUGGAGGGAGACUUCGAUCCUAAACCUUAGAAACACUGGAUUGUGGCCAGAAGAGGUCAAGUUCUGAUUAACUUCUCCAUAAUUAAAAGAAGGAAAAAAAACCUUGAUGUCUGAGUCAUCUGUUUGGAUGCAUAGAGGCCACUUACAGAUGAGGAGGAAAGUGAAACGCAACCUGGGUGUGGUGGUACAUGCCUGUAAUCCCAGCACUCCAGAGGCUGAGACAGAGAGGAUUUCAGUUCAGCCUGGGUAAUUUGGUGACUUAAUGAGACCCCAUCUCAAAAUACAAUGUAAAGGAAAGGGCUGCUCAUGUUACCUUUCCUGCUUUGUGCCCGCUGUGUUGUUUCUGUUCUGCAGUGCUUGUUUGCCAUCCCAGCCUUGGAGCCAGCUGAUUAUGGACUGAAACUUCUAAGAACUGUAAGCCAAAUAAACCCCUUCCCCUUAAAAAAAAAAAAAAAGAGAAGAAAUAGGGCUGAAGGCUGGGUGUGGUAGUGCACUCCGGUAAUACCAGCAGUCUGGAGGCUGAGGCAAGAGGAUCACUGUGAGUUCAAGGCCAGCUUGGGCUGCAUAGCAAGACCUUGUCUCAAAAAAAAAAAAGGAGAGAGAGAGAGAAAAGAUGGGAAUUGCUUCUGGAGGCUAUACAUUCCCCAAAGUAUUAAAAAAAAAAAAAAAGACUCAAAAUGUGCACCUUAGUGCAAGGCCCUGGGUCGAGUUUUAAAACAAAAAACGUUAAAGAUAGUUGUAAGACAGAAGACGCUGUCACUGGGUGCUCAAAUGAAACCCAGGGGCCUGGGGUGUGGUGCAGUGGCAGGCAAAAGUCCCAGAUUCCACCCCAGCACCUUGCACCCACGCGCACACCCACAUGCACAUGCACAGAAACCGAAAAUGCGCACACUUUCUGCCCACAGCACCCUCCACACCGGCCUCCUGGGCUGGGGAUUUACCUCAGUGGUUCAGGCGCCUGCCUCGCAAGCGCAAGGUCCCGGGUUCCAUCCCUGGUACACCGCCCCCCCCCAAAAAAAACUACCACACCGGCCUCCUCCCCAAGCCCAGUGCAUCUCCUGUAGGGUGCAGGAGGGGCAGACCUCAGGCUCCACGAGCCCAGGACACAGGCUUUGUGAGCUCCCCUGCAGGGCCUGCCACACAGCAGCAUUCUCUGCAUCUCCAGUGAGUCUCUGGUUUGGUUGGCGGUUUCGCCUCUCAAGCCCUCAGCAUAGACCAGGUGAAUGUGUGUGCCACACCUUUGUCCAGGUACGGCAUCCUGGACAAAUAAAAUAUUAUUAUUAUUUUUUGAGAUAGGGUCUCGCUAUAUAGUCCACAGGCUGGCCUCGAACUCAGGACGAUCCUCCUGCUUCAGCCUCCCAAGUGUGCACGACCACACCUGGCUCCUGGAUGUUAAUUUUAACAGAUACAUGGUGUGGGGGUGUCAGGUGUGUGUGUCUGUGCCUGUGGAGCAGGAAAGGAGAUGGUAAUAAAAUGUCACAAUGUGAGCCCUCCUAAAAUAGAUUAUUGAGAAGUCCCUGUGCACCAAAGUUAGGUCAUAUAAAAUAUACUUUGAGCUCAGCAGCACAGCCUUGGAAGCUUGAGGUCCUGAGUUCAAUCCCUGGUACCCCCCCCCAAAAUAUAUAUAUAUAUUAUAUAUGUUGAAAAAAUACAUACUUUGGGCCAGGGAUUUAGCUCUGUGGUUCUAGUGCCUGCCGUGUAAGCACAAAGUCCUGAGUUCGAUCCCUGGUACCAAAAAAAAAAACCACACAAAAAAGAAAAUAAACAUAGAUACUUUUACAUGUUUUGACCUAUAUGUGUCCUGGAUUUACACCUAAAAUGUUCUCUGAGCAGGAACCUUAUUUAUCUGUGUAUUUAUAUAUAUUUCUUUGUAGUACUGGAGAUUGAACCCAGGACCUUCACUGAGCUACAUCCCCAGCCCAUUUACAUUUAUUUUUCAAAAAUUAUUGUUCAGUUUUUUAAAAUGUUAGCUGGGUGUGAUGGUGCACACCUGUACUCCCAGUACUUGGGAGGCUGAAGAAUGAGGAUCACCACAAGUUCAAGUCUGAACUGCUCCAAAUAGUUCAAGGGACAACCUGAAAUAUAUAUUGAGACCCUGGCUCAAAAAAUACGAAGAGGGAGAGAGAGAGAGAGAAAGGGAGAAAAUAAAAAUGAUUAUUAACCAGGAAUGGUGCCGCAUGCCUGUAAUCUCAGCAUUUGGGAGGCUGAGGCAGGAAGAUCAGUGGUAAUUCCAGGCCAGCCUGGGGCUGCAGAGUGAGUUCAAGGCCAGCAAGGACUACAAAGGGAAACCCUGUCUCCAAAAAACAAAACAAAAAAGAAAAUAAAUGUUUAUUAGUACAUGUUUGCUGUUUACCAUGGGGAGUUAGUACAUGUAUGUAACACAUCAAUUGGGUUUUUUAAAAUAAAUUUUAUUUUAUCCCAUUUCCCUCCCUCAAGGCAUCAAUUGUUUUGUUUUGUUUUGGUUUUGGUUUUAUGCACACUGGCCUUGAACUCACAGCAAUCCUGCCUAAGCCUCCUAGACGCUGGGAUGACAGGCCUAUGCCAUCACACCCUGUUUUUAAAUUUUUGAUACAGGAUUUCAAUUGCCCAAAUUGGGCUCAAAUUGCAAUCCUCCUGCCUCAGCCUUCCAGAGUACUAGAAUUACAGGGGUGUGCCAUCACACCCAGCUUGUGUGUCUGUUUUUUGUUUGUUUUGGUUUUUGGUUAUUUGAGACAGAGUCUUGCUGUGUAGUCCAGGCUGGCCUUGAAUUCACUGUGCAGCCCAGGCUGGCUUCCAACUUGCACUGAUCCUCCUGCCUCAGCCUUCUGAGUGCUGAGAUUAUAGGUAUGUGCCACCAGAAAAAUUUUUGCCUGCCACCAGCUCCUUUUCCUGCCUUGUUUAAAAAAAAGAGAAGAGGGCUGGGGAUUUAGCUCAGUGGUUCCGCCUCCUGCCUGGCAAGCGCAAGGACCCCAGUUCGAUCCCUGGUACCAAGAAAUUAAUUAAUUAAUUUUUAAAAAAAGGAAAGAAAAGAAAAGGUCUAAAAAUCAUAUUCCCUUCUUGGGGAAAAAAGGACUGGCCAUUCAUUCCUCCAUUCCUGUGAGCUGGAGCUGAUGUUAGAGUGCUAACAAGACAUGGAGACAUAAAUUCACAUGUUAGACAAUCAUGCAGGGAAUAUUCACCUAGUAGUCAGCAAAAGAUUACUGCACUUUUUUUUAAUUUUUUUUUUUUUUAAUCUCCAGGGCCCAGGUACUCAAUUUAAAAAAUCUUAUUAGAAAGCUGGAGGGCCGGGGAUUUAGUUCAGUGGUUCUGCCGCCUGCCUUGCAAGUGCAAGGAACCAAGUUGGAUCCCUGGUACCAAAAAAAAAAAGAAAGCUGGGCAUCAGGGGCCAGGGAUUUAGCUCAGUGGUUUCACCGCCUGCCUCAAAAGCUCAAGGUCCUGAGUUUGAUCACUGGUACCAAAAAAGAAAAGAAAAGAAAAAGCUGGGCAUCUGGGAGAGAAAAAAGAAAAAAAGAAAACGGCUUGUUGGCAUAUGCCUGUAAUCCUGGUGCUUGGGGACAUUGAGGCCGAGGCAGAAGGAUCACUGGAAGUUGGAGGAUAGCCUUGCUCAGAAAAGAAAAGGCUAAUUCCACCUCACCCCAGAAAGAGUGGCUGCUAUCAAGAAAUCAGUCGUUAACCAAUGCUGGCAGGGCUGUGGGGAGAAAGGAACCCUGCUCCAGAAUUGUUGGUGGGAGUGCAGACCGGUGCAACCACUGUGGAAGUCAGUGUGGAGACACCUCACAGAACUAGGGAUAGAGGUCCCAUUUGACCCGGCUAUUCCUUUGCUGAGUAUGUUCCCAAAGAAUUAAAAGAAUCAUACCACAGCGAUAUAUGUGCACCUAUGUUUAUAGCGGCACAGUUUGUGAUAGCUAAAACUUGGAAACAGCCCAAAUGCCCAUCAACUGGAGACUGGAUCAAGAAAAUCUGGUUUUUUAAUAAAAUGGAGUACUACUCAGUCAUAAAGAAUGAGAAACUAGAGACAUUUAUAGCUAAAUGGAUGCACAUUGAGGCCAUACUCAAGUGAAAUAAAUAGGACACACGUGUGUAAAUACUGAAUAGUUUCUCUGGUGUGAGAAACUGAAAGUGUACAUAAGGAUCAAAAUGUAUAAUAGAUAAUGUCAAAUAGGAAGGAAAGGAAAGGAAUAAAUAAGAGAAAAGGAAAAGAUGGAAACAAAGUCUUUGUAAAUAGGGGUGGAGGGGUUGAAGGGAGGGCAGGGGAAUGGCGAAAAACUAAGAACCAAGAUAUAUCAUGUAGAGGUACAAAUUCCCAAUGAUGAAUAUCAUCAUAUUUGUAUACCUAAAAUGUACCAAUAAACUUAAUAAAAAAGAGGCUACAUAAUGAGUUCCAGGCUAGCCUGAACUAUAGUGAGACUCAGUCUCAAAAACAAAAACAAUGGGCCGGGGAUUUAGCUCAGUGGUUCUGGCACCUGCCGAACAAGCACAAGCACAAGCACAAGGUCCCAAGUUUGAUCCCUGGUACCAAAACA